rnacentral:lncRNA from 1 species
AGAAAAUAAGCCACAUAAACUCAUAAAAUUUAGAGAAAACUUCAAAUACCACCCCUGUGGUUUCACACUUUCUCAUUUUAAUACCAUGUGGUUUAAAGUGUAUCAAUUUAGUGCUAUAUGGUUUCAUUCAUAUCUUUUUAUUAUGAAUUCCACUAAUUUUUUUCAUUAAAUCAGUGACAAAGUUAAAAUUAAAGGGUACUAAAGUGAAUAUUCGAUAAAUCUAGGUUAGAUAUCUAAAGUUUUUUUUGUACAUAAUUUAACGAAAUAUUAACGAAAAAGCUAACGAAAAGAUAAAAAUGAACCACAGGACACUAACUUAAUACACUUUAAACCACAGGGCACUAAAAUGAGAAAGUGUGAAACCACAGAAAUGGUAUUUAAAAUUUACCCUAAAUUUUAGUAUACCACUAUCCAAAUUUUAAAGCAUUGCACU